AGGGAAUAUAACAGGGGAUUGGGGGGGAUUCAGAGAAGCCUGGAUACGAUGAAUUGAUUGAAUUACUUAAUAGACUCAUGAAUAAAGGCAAAACCAAUUCUGAUACUAGCGACACCGCGAUUUAUAAAAUUCUUAUUUCGCCUGUAGCGGGAGGGAAAAUAGCUGCCACGAUGAAUGGUGAGUUACCUGUUUAAUGAAAGUACGAGGGAAAACUUAUUUUUUACCUGAAGCAAGGGUAACUGCACUCACUUGUCAAUGGCUCAUGGGUCCAUGCGUUGGGAAUUCUGUUUAUCUUCAUGAUGGAACCACAUCCACAUGCCAAAGUAGGGUUCUAGUUGGAAAAAUGCAAGUAUUUAUUGACACCUGUAAACUUCCCACGCAGACCUUGUUCAAGGAAUAUAUGGCAGUUCCUCUAUGGGUGGAACCAAACUUCAAUGACUAUAGCUGUCAGUUCUAAUUUGGGAUUCUUCCUCCGCUGCCCCGACAUGAUGCUGCCCUCAAGGAGCCUCGCUUAGAAAUAUGCCCAACUUCAAGUUGACGCAAGUAAGCCACAACCUUAAUAUCGAGGAAUGUCCAAAGGCAUAAAGCUUCCGGACUGUUUUAAAUCAGAUAAAUAACUGUUGUAUGAAUCUCUCAACAUUUGUUGCAUGACUUCCGUUUACACAAAAGGAAACUUAAUUUGCGUCU